UUCCGAUGAAAAUGACUUGAUCCAACGCGCUCUUCACCUCGACUCUCUUCUCCUCGAAGCCGGAAAACGGUCCGAUCGUAAACGGUCAUCCUCACACAAAGUCGCAGUAUGGCCUCUGCCUCCCGAUCUCACGAUCAAGGGCUCGUUUGAGAAGAUUACACCUUUACAAUAUGGAAAGGAUUGAUAAUACUGCUCUCUUGGCAUCAUUAUCAGCUUGCCCUUCUCUCCUUGAUCUGGAAAUGAUAGGUAUGUUGAGUUGAGGCAUACAUUGGAAUCAGUGAGCAAGAAUUGCCCCUUAAUAGAGCGUUUGGUCUUUGAAUCUUCGAAAACAGGGAUCCUUCUGUUUCAUUCAUGCUUGCUAUAAGUCUUGCAAAAUUUUAGGAUAAUUAUGAUUACCAUUUAUUUACAUGUAGAGAUGAUGAUUUGAAAUACCCAACCUGCAAUGAAUUCGUGCGCAGCUGCCCUAGCAUAACUGCCUUGUCACUAAAGGGAUUCAAGCUGCAUGACUACAAGGCUCGUAUGUUGGUGAAUGGGCUUCACAAAUUGAAAUAUGUGGACUUGUCAACGUCUUACUCAUGCACAGGUACUUAAUUUUUUAAGGAACCUUGGUGCCAAACUGCCAAUGGUGGUGGAAACCAUUUGGAGGUCAUGAUUUUACGAGACUGUAUCAAUGCAUCUCAAAGAUGUAAAAGGACUAAAUUGUCCCUAACCCCUCCCGCCAUGGUUCAUGUACUUGAAAUUUAAAAAAUAAAAAAAGUCGUUGGCAGGUUGAAGUUGAGCGCUUUGUGGGAGCUGUUCUUGCGGGAGAAUUCAAGCACUUUAGACAUCUUGUGAGUAAAAAUACUCGUCCUCUGAUGAUUUAAUAAAUUUGUGAUAUAGUAUAAUAUAACUCUUACAAAUUACAACUUCAGUCCCUUUUUCCAAUCUUUAAAGUUUAAAUUGGGUUACCUUAUUCCUUAAAACAGGACAUAUCCAACCGAUAGAUGUUAUAGUGCAAGGUAUACUGAUUUAUCCUGUUUCCUUUUCUUUUAUAUGGAUUUUAUAAAUAAUUAAUACAUUAAAUAUGUGAUUACAAAUGCUAUAGUUUCAAUAUAUUAUACUGUAUAAAGCAAUUCGAGAUAUUGUAAACAUCUAAAUACUUUCGGCCUGUUUUCUUUUUA